rnacentral:rRNA from 1 species
UACGGAGGGUGCAAGCGUUACUCGGAAUCACUGGGCGUAAAGAGUGCGCAGGCGGGCUUGUAAGUCAGAUGUGAAAUCCUGUAGCUUAACUACAGAACUGCAUUUGAAACUAUGAGUCUAGAGUGUGGGAGAGGUAGGUGGAAUUCUUGGUGUAGGGGUAAAAUCCGUAGAUAUCAAGAGGAAUACUCAUUGCGAAGGCGACCUACUGGACAGAAACUGACACUGAGGCUCGAAAGCGUGGGGAGCAAACAGG